GGUUAAGUUAGAAAGGGCGCACGGUGGAUGCCUUGACACUAGGAGUCGAUGAAGGACGGGACUAACGCCGAUAUGCUUCGGGGAGCUGUAAGUAAGCUUUGAUCCGAAGAUUUCCGAAUGGGGAAACCCACUAUACGUAAUGGUAUGGUAUCCUUACCUGAAUACAUAGGGUAUGGAAGACAGACCCAGGGAACUGAAACAUCUAAGUACCUGGAGGAAGAGAAAGCAAAUGCGAUUUCCUGAGUAGCGGCGAGCGAAACGGAAUCUAGCCCAAACCAAGAGGCUUGCCUCUUGGGGUUGUAGGACAUUCUAUACGGAGUUACAAAGGAACGAGGUAGACGAAGCGACCUGGAAAGGUCCGUCGUAGAGGGUAACAACCCCGUAGUCGAAACUUCGUUCUCUCUUGAAUGUAUCCUGAGUACGGCGGAACACGUGAAAUUCCGUCGGAAUCUGGGAGGACCAUCUCCCAAGGCUAAAUACUCCCUAGUGAUCGAUAGUGAACCAGUACCGUGAGGGAAAGGUGAAAAGCACCCCGGAAGGGGAGUGAAAGAGAUCCUGAAACCGUGUGCCUACAAAUAGUCAGAGCCCGUUAAUGGGUGAUGGCGUGCCUUUUGUAGAAUGAACCGGCGAGUUACGAUCCCGUGCGAGGUUAAGUUGAAGAGACGGAGCCGCAGCGAAAGCGAGUCUGAAUAGGGCGUUUAGUACGUGGUCGUAGACCCGAAACCAGGUGAUCUACCCAUGUCCAGGGUGAAGUUCAGGUAACACUGAAUGGAGGCCCGAACCCACGCACGUUGAAAAGUGCGGGGAUGAGGUGUGGGUAGCGGAGAAAUUCCAAUCGAACCUGGAGAUAGCUGGUUCUCCCCGAAAUAGCUUUAGGGCUAGCCUUAAGUGUAAGAGUCUUGGAGGUAGAGCACUGAUUGAACUAGGGGUCCUCAUCGGAUUACCGAAUUCAGUCAAACUCCGAAUGCCAAUGACUUAUCCUUAGGAGUCAGACUGCGAGUGAUAAGAUCCGUAGUCAAGAGGGAAACAGCCCAGAUCGCCAGCUAAGGUCCCAAAGUGUGUAUUAAGUGGAAAAGGAUGUGGAGUUGCUUAGACAACUAGGAUGUUGGCUUAGAAGCAGCCACCAUUUAAAGAGUGCGUAAUAGCUCACUAGUCGAGUGACUCUGCGCCGAAAAUGUACCGGGGCUAAAUACACCACCGAAGCUGCGAAUUGAUACCAAUGGUAUCAGUGGUAGGGGAGCGUUCUAAGGACAGUGAAGUCAGACCGUAAGGACUGGUGGAGUGCUUAGAAGUGAGAAUGCCGGUAUGAGUAGCGAAAGACGGGUGAGAAUCCCGUCCACCGAAUGCCUAAGGUUUCCUGAGGAAGGCUCGUCCGCUCAGGGUUAGUCAGGACCUAAGCCGAGGCCGACAGGCGUAGGCGAUGGACAACAGGUUGAUAUUCCUGUACCACCUCUUUAUCGUUUGAGCAAUGGAGGGACGCAGAAGGAUAGAAGAAGCGUGCGAUUGGUUGUGCACGUCCAAGCAGUUAGGCUGAUAAGUAGGCAAAUCCGCUUAUCGUGAAGGCUGAGCUGUGAUGGGGAAGCUCCUUAUGGAGCGAAGUCUUUGAUUCCCCGCUGCCAAGAAAAGCUUCUAGCGAGAUAAAAGGUGCCUGUACCGCAAACCGACACAGGUAGGCGAGGAGAGAAUCCUAAGGUGUGCGAGAGAACUCUGGUUAAGGAACUCGGCAAAAUGACCCCGUAACUUCGGGAGAAGGGGUGCUUUCUUAACGGAAAGCCGCAGUGAAUAGGCCCAAGCGACUGUUUAGCAAAAACACAGGUCUCUGCGAAGCCGUAAGGCGAAGUAUAGGGGCUGACACCUGCCCGGUGCUGGAAGGUUAAGGAGAGGGGUUAGCGUAAGCGAAGCUCUGAACUGAAGCCCCAGUAAACGGCGGCCGUAACUAUAACGGUCCUAAGGUAGCGAAAUUCCUUGUCGGGUAAGUUCCGACCCGCACGAAAGGUGUAACGAUUUGGGCACUGUCUCAACCAGAGACUCGGUGAAAUUAUAGUACCUGUGAAGAUGCAGGUUACCCGCGACAGGACGGAAAGACCCCGUGGAGCUUUACUGUAGCCUGAUAUUGAAUUUUGGUACAGUUUGUACAGGAUAGGCGGGAGCCAUUGAAACCGGAGCGCUAGCUUCGGUGGAGGCGCUGGUGGGAUACCGCCCUGACUGUAUUGAAAUUCUAACCUACGGGUCUUAUCGACCCGGGAGACAGUGUCAGGUGGGCAGUUUGACUGGGGCGGUCGCCUCCUAAAGUGUAACGGAGGCGCCCAAAGGUUCCCUCAGAAUGGUUGGAAAUCAUUCGUAGAGUGCAAAGGCAUAAGGGAGCUUGACUGCGAGACCUACAAGUCGAGCAGGGACGAAAGUCGGGCUUAGUGAUCCGGUGGUUCCGCAUGGAAGGGCCAUCGCUCAACGGAUAAAAGCUACCCCGGGGAUAACAGGCUUAUCUCCCCCAAGAGUCCACAUCGACGGGGAGGUUUGGCACCUCGAUGUCGGCUCAUCGCAUCCUGGGGCUGUAGUCGGUCCCAAGGGUUGGGCUGUUCGCCCAUUAAAGCGGUACGCGAGCUGGGUUCAGAACGUCGUGAGACAGUUCGGUCCCUAUCCGUCGUGGGCGUAGGAAAUUUGAGAGGAGCUGUCCUUAGUACGAGAGGACCGGGAUGGACGCACCGCUGGUGUACCAGUUGUUCUGCCAAGGGCAUAGCUGGGUAGCUAUGUGCGGAAGGGAUAAGUGCUGAAAGCAUCUAAGCAUGAAGCCCCCCUCAAGAUGAGAUUUCCCAUAGCGUAAGCUAGUAAGAUCCCUGAAAGAUGAUCAGGUUGAUAGGUUCGAGGUGGAAGCAUGGUGACAUGUGGAGCUGACGAAUACUAAUAGAUCGAGGACUUAACCAU
rnacentral:rRNA from 1 species